UGAAACUCAUCAAACUCAUCUUGUCCUUCACUCCACCUUAGGUUUACGGAGCGGCUACAAAGAGAGACACACAUUCUUUGUUUGUUUAUUGUGCUCACACCCACAUAACAGAGCAUAUUUUCUUCAAAAAUGGAAGAUGUGAUAACAGAAGCAGCACCACCAUCAAGAUUACUAGAAGAAGACCUAAACAAUUUCACACCAUCUUCUCCACCACUCCCUUCACCUUUUCUCCUCUUCCCUCACACACAACAACAACAACAACCUCUCAAACCCACACUCCUCAUCAUCGCUAUCUCUUCUCCCUCUCUCUCCCUUUUCCACAAUCUCCUCACCCCACAAACCCUAACCUCCUCUCUCAUCCUCCCUGAACUCCCUCUCUCCUAUCCUAACAACACCAUCAACAUCCACUCUCUCUCUUCCACCAUCCUCCUCGCCGCCGUUCAAAACCCUAUCCCUGAUAAUCGCGCUUACGCCGUCGCUGAAAUCCUCCUCAGCAACCAGAUCUGCCCUGAUUCGGUUAUUAUACUUGAUUCUAUCCAGCCGAUGAAUCACCGUGGUCUGCUUUCUUCCGACGAGGCGGUUGCAUUCAAGCUGGAGAGUUUUGCCGAAAGGAAGAAGGCGAAUGAGGAGAAAUUGUUGGGAGGAUUGGAUUAUUACCCGUCUGGAAGCGUUGUUGAUGGACUCGGUGCCGCCAUUCUUGGACGGUGUCAGAUUUUGAAAAUUAGGGCUAGCUUGUGUGUUACUUGGCCUCAAUUUGAUUCAGAUGUUGUUUUGUUGUUGAAGGAUUUGCUUCGAGGUUUGGGUGAGUUUGAGUUUGGGUUUAGUGAUGAUGAGGUUUUCAAAUUUGGGAGGAGUAAGGAUCAUGUUUUUCAAUCUCACUUGUAUAUUUGAUUAGAUUUAUUACAAUGUGUGUUUAACAUUUAGUUCUCAAUGAUUUGAAUGUUUUGGAAUUAUGAUGGUUAUGAAUAGUUAUCUAGUCUUUGCUUUAUUGUUGUGUUGCUUUUAUAUUUUGUCAAUUUUAUUCUACAAAUUGCCAUGAAAAUUUGCAAUAUCUUGCUUUACUGGGAAGAGCUUCUAUAGCUAUCUGAAUGUCACUUUCAAUAUCUAAUAGCUUUGUUCUUUAAUUUGUUAACUUUAACAAUGACAAUUGGUUGUGGAUAUCAAAUUUGCAUUUAGAUUCACAGUAUUAAACUAUCUAAGGUUAUGACUUAUAGUGGAUCUCCAUUGUUAUUUAAAUCUUUUUACCAAAUGAUUCAUCUGUGUCCUAUAUUUGUAAUGUGAGGUUAAUUGGUUGCAAUGUUGAUUGGUAGCUAAUAAAAGUACAUUUGAUCUUUAUGCUCUUUUGAAUUGAAUGCUUGCUCAGUUUUGUGUUGUCAUCUUGAAACUACUGGUUUUGUUACUGGCAUUGUGAUUGAUGUCAAUAUACUGCAUCAAGUCGUGCUUGUGGGUCACAUGGAUACAAAUGUAACUGUGGCAUGCAACCUACAACCACAAUGUGAUUGUUAAGGCAAUGUAAUACCCUGAUUAUAACAAAUAGUUAUGAUCAAUGUAACCCUAAACCCUUUCGAGGACAUCCAUAGCUUAGUCCAAAUAAAUUUUGGAUCAUCAUAGAUCUUAUUGGAUCAGAUGAUGCUACAUGUUUUUAAAGCUGUAGAUUUGAAUGAUGGCUAGACAUAUUUUUUUUUUCUUGCUGCCUCUAGUGUUGUGUAUCAUUGAUAAAAGAACUCAAUAGUUUACAAAUGUGAUUUCUGUGUCCAGAAUUCUCUAGAAAAUCUUAUUCUUCACUUGUAUCUAGUGAUUUAUGUUUUUUUUUGUUUUGUUAACGUAUCUCUUCUAAAUGUAAUUUAGGAUGCUUUGAAUGCUUUAAUAGAAUAGAUUUUAAUGUUAUCUGUUGAUCUUUAUGCUCUUUUGAAUUGAAUAUUAUGCUACUGUCAUGAGAGGAUCCCUUCCCUACAAUAAUAGUGAUUGUUUGCGGGCCACAUCGGUCCAAAUGUAACUGUCAUGCAAUAGAGCAGAUGUUGUUAAGGCAAUGUGAUAUCCUGACCAUAAUCGGUAUAUAUGAUUGAUGUAAUUCUUUUCAAGACAUGUAUAUAGCAUAGUCCAAUAAGUUUUGAUACAUCAUAGAACAAAAUUCAUUUGGACCAUACUGCACUUUUCUUUUCAUGCUACUCAAAAUGUUUUUUUUUAGUGGUGGCCAAGCUUUGAACCUUGGACCUUGCAUAUAUUAUGUAUUGUUUAUACAAAUUGAAUUAAGCUCACGAGGACAAAUGUUUAUACAAGUUAUAGAUGGUAGAAGUCAAUUAAACGAAGUGUUUAGUAGACAAUAAGAGUUGUGUGAAACAUAUUUUUCAUGUUGUCUCGACAUUGGUGGUGUUUAUCAUUGAGAUACGGAACCCAUCUAGUGUAAGCUCUACAAGCAAUUACUAAUAUGUUUUUCUUGUCCAAAAUUCAGUACAGAAGUUUAUUACUUUUCUUUAGCAUAUGUUUGGUUUGAUGUUGAAAUUAUCAAUCUCGCAGAGGAAUUGGAGUUUUCCAAACCCAUACUUAGUCUGUGUAUCAAUAGUGAAACUUGAUUGGAUCUGCAUUGGGUAACUUCCAACCCAGAUCUUGAUUUGCUAGCCUUGACUGAUCUUUAACCCAAACUUGAAAUUAAAAAUAAUUCUCAAAAGGGAGGAUAAACAUGCGAUUUUGUCAAAAAUUUGGUGAUGAUGAGGUUUUCAAAUUUGGGAGGAGUAAGGUUCAUGUUUUUCAAUCUCACUUAUAUAUUUGAUUAGAUUUAUUACAAAGUGUCUGUUUAACAUGUAGUUCUCGAUGAUUUGAAUGUUUUGGAAUUAUGAUGGUUAUGAAUAGUUAUCUAGUCUUUGCUUUAUUGUUGUGUUGCUUUUAUANCAACGAGCAUCAAGCUCGGGGGCUUUGCAUAGUCAAAAGAAGGUGCUCAACGAGCAUAGAGCUCGGGGAUUUCACCCGGUUAAAAGAAUUCUCCCAAGGAUUAUAAAGCUCAGGGGGCUGAAGAAAGCCUUAUAAGACUUCCAGACAUGUCUAUUGAAGUAAACAUAUAUAAAUUUGUUAAGGUUUUUUUUUUUAUAUAUAUAUAACAAAUGUAAGUACAUUACCUAUUUAAGUAAACAUGUAUAAAUUUUUGGAGAAAACUUAGGUACAAUUCCUUAAGUGCUUUUCGUAUGGUUGUGAACUAAAUUCACCAUGAUUUCCUCAAAUCCAUAAUUUUCUCCUAAAUUUUUUAUUAUUUUUUCUAACAAAUAUUAGUACGUUAACUGUUGUAUACAUAUUUUAUCCCUUACUAAUAUUUGAACCGUACACUUUUAACUUGGUAAUUUUUUUUUAUUCAAAAUUUUUCUCAUAUCAUAUCUCAACUCUUGAAAUAGAUUUUUCGUUGCUUCUAAAUUUUCAUUAGGCAUGACCUAUAAAAUAAAAAUAAUCUGUUUAAUAGGUAAAUAUGUAAUACACAUCAUUAACAAUGUGAUUAGGUAGAAUAAAUUUAAGCAUUAAAAAAUAGAAUAUAUUUCAGUUUGACUAAGCUAUGUAUCCAUAUUUUAAAAUCCGAUUAGUCGUGUAUAUGAUUAUCUUUAAUUAAAAUACAUGCUUCAUUCGUUCUUAAAUAUAAGAUCUUUUUAGUCGAAUCAUGGGAAAUAAAAAAAUUGGUAGUAAUAUUAAAUUUGUUUAUAAUUAUUAUUCUUACGAUUUUAUCAUUUAAGAGAUUGUUUAUGUUUUCAACAUAAUAGUAUUUAUUGUUGAUUGAAGAAAAAUAUGUAAAAUAAAUAUGGGUAUGUUGGUAAAAAAAUAAUUAAUAUAGUUUUGUUUAUGGAAAAUAAUUAAUAUAGUUGAAAAUGCCAAAUGGUCUUAUAAAGAGAUAAAUAAAUUUAAGUUUUUUUUAGUCUCGUUUUGGUGCCUUCUGUUAGGUCUCCGUUAGUUUUAAUAAUAAACGUUAAGUGUGGACACGUGUCACCUCGUCAUUGGCUCUGAGAUUUUUUAUUUUAUUUUUUAAAAAAUUUAUUUAAGGGACCAAAAGAGCAUUUAAGCCUAUUUAUAAAGAUUAAAAAAAAAAACAUAUUUAAACCAAAGAUUUAUCGUUGUGUCGAACCAAAUGUAACUCGCUUUGUGAAACUCAUCAAACUCAUCUUGUCCUUCACUCCACCUUAGGUUUACGGAGCGGCUACAAAGAGAGACACACAUUCUUUGUUUGUUUAUUGUGCUCACACCCACAUAACAGAGCAUAUUUUCUUCAAAAAUGGAAGAUGUGAUAACAGAAGCAGCACCACCAUCAAGAUUACUAGAAGAAGACCUAAACAAUUUCACACCAUCUUCUCCACCACUCCCUUCACCUUUUCUCCUCUUCCCUCACACACAACAACAACAACAACCUCUCAAACCCACACUCCUCAUCAUCGCUAUCUCUUCUCCCUCUCUCUCCCUUUUCCACAAUCUCCUCACCCCACAAACCCUAACCUCCUCUCUCAUCCUCCCUGAACUCCCUCUCUCCUAUCCUAACAACACCAUCAACAUCCACUCUCUCUCUUCCACCAUCCUCCUCGCCGCCGUUCAAAACCCUAUCCCUGAUAAUCGCGCUUACGCCGUCGCUGAAAUCCUCCUCAGCAACCAGAUCUGCCCUGAUUCGGUUAUUAUACUUGAUUCUAUCCAGCCGAUGAAUCACCGUGGUCUGCUUUCUUCCGACGAGGCGGUUGCAUUCAAGCUGGAGAGUUUUGCCGAAAGGAAGAAGGCGAAUGAGGAGAAAUUGUUGGGAGGAUUGGAUUAUUACCCGUCUGGAAGCGUUGUUGAUGGACUCGGUGCCGCCAUUCUUGGACGGUGUCAGAUUUUGAAAAUUAGGGCUAGCUUGUGUGUUACUUGGCCUCAAUUUGAUUCAGAUGUUGUUUUGUUGUUGAAGGAUUUGCUUCGAGGUUUGGGUGAGUUUGAGUUUGGGUUUAGUGAUGAUGAGGUUUUCAAAUUUGGGAGGAGUAAGGAUCAUGUUUUUCAAUCUCACUUAUAUAUUUGAUUAGAUUUAUUACAAUGUGUGUUUAACAUUUAGUUCUCAAUGAUUUGAAUGUUUUGGAAUUAUGAUGGUUAUGAAUAGUUAUCUAGUCUUUGCUUUAUUGUUGUGUUGCUUUUAUAUUUUGUCAAUUUUAUUCUACAAAUUGCCAUGAAAAUUUGCAAUAUCUUGCUUUACUGGGAAGAGCUUCUAUAGCUAUCUGAAUGUCACUUUCAAUAUCUAAUAGCUUUGUUCUUUAAUUUGUUAACUUUAACAAUGACAAUUGGUUGUGGAUAUCAAAUUUGCAUUUAGAUUCACAGUAUUAAACUAUCUAAGGUUAUGACUUAUAGUGGAUCUCCAUUGUUAUUUAAAUCUUUUUACCAAAUGAUUCAUCUGUGUCCUAUAUUUGUAAUGUGAGGUUAAUUGGUUGCAAUGUUGAUUGGUAGCUAAUAAAAGUACAUUUGAUCUUUAUGCUCUUUUGAAUUGAAUGCUUGCUCAGUUUUGUGUUGUCAUCUUGAAACUACUGGUUUUGUUACUGGCAUUGUGAUUGAUGUCAAUAUACUGCAUCAAGUCGUGCUUGUGGGUCACAUGGAUACAAAUGUAACUGUGGCAUGCAACCUACAACCACAAUGUGAUUGUUAAGGCAAUGUAAUACCCUGAUUAUAACAAAUAGUUAUGAUCAAUGUAACCCUAAACCCUUUCGAGGACAUCCAUAGCUUAGUCCAAAUAAAUUUUGGAUCAUCAUAGAUCUUAUUGGAUCAGAUGAUGCUACAUGUUUUUAAAGCUGUAGAUUUGAAUGAUGGCUAGACAUAUUUUUUUUUUCUUGCUGCCUCUAGUGUUGUGUAUCAUUGAUAAAAGAACUCAAUAGUUUACAAAUGUGAUUUCUGUGUCCAGAAUUCUCUAGAAAAUCUUAUUCUUCACUUGUAUCUAGUGAUUUAUGUUUUUUUUUGUUUUGUUAACGUAUCUCUUCUAAAUGUAAUUUAGGAUGCUUUGAAUGCUUUAAUAGAAUAGAUUUUAAUGUUAUCUGUUGAUCUUUAUGCUCUUUUGAAUUGAAUAUUAUGCUACUGUCAUGAGAGGAUCCCUUCCCUACAAUAAUAGUGAUUGUUUGCGGGCCACAUCGGUCCAAAUGUAACUGUCAUGCAAUAGAGCAGAUGUUGUUAAGGCAAUGUGAUAUCCUGACCAUAAUCGGUAUAUAUGAUUGAUGUAAUUCUUUUCAAGACAUGUAUAUAGCAUAGUCCAAUAAGUUUUGAUACAUCAUAGAACAAAAUUCAUUUGGACCAUACUGCACUUUUCUUUUCAUGCUACUCAAAAUGUUUUUUUUUAGUGGUGGCCAAGCUUUGAACCUUGGACCUUGCAUAUAUUAUGUAUUGUUUAUACAAAUUGAAUUAAGCUCACGAGGACAAAUGUUUAUACAAGUUAUAGAUGGUAGAAGUCAAUUAAACGAAGUGUUUAGUAGACAAUAAGAGUUGUGUGAAACAUAUUUUUCAUGUUGUCUCGACAUUGGUGGUGUUUAUCAUUGAGAUACGGAACCCAUCUAGUGUAAGCUCUACAAGCAAUUACUAAUAUGUUUUUCUUGUCCAAAAUUCAGUACAGAAGUUUAUUACUUUUCUUUAGCAUAUGUUUGGUUUGAUGUUGAAAUUAUCAAUCUCGCAGAGGAAUUGGAGUUUUCCAAACCCAUACUUAGUCUGUGUAUCAAUAGUGAAACUUGAUUGGAUCUGCAUUGGGUAACUUCCAACCCAGAUCUUGAUUUGCUAGCCUUGACUGAUCUUUAACCCAAACUUGAAAUUAAAAAUAAUUCUCAAAAGGGAGGAUAAACAUGCGAUUUUGUCAAAAAUUUGGUGAUGAUGAGGUUUUCAAAUUUGGGAGGAGUAAGGUUCAUGUUUUUCAAUCUCACUUAUAUAUUUGAUUAGAUUUAUUACAAAGUGUCUGUUUAACAUGUAGUUCUCGAUGAUUUGAAUGUUUUGGAAUUAUGAUGGUUAUGAAUAGUUAUCUAGUCUUUGCUUUAUUGUUGUGUUGCUUUUAUAUUUUGUCAAUUUUAUUCUACAAAUUGCCAUGAAAAUUUGCAAUAUCUUGCUUUACUGGGAAGAGCUUCUAUAGCUAUCUGAAUGUCACUUUCAAUAUCUAAUAGCUAUUUGAAUGAUAGCAGCAGGUAUGGAGGAACAUUAUUAGUAGACAAUAAGAGCUGUGUAAAACAGAUUUUUCUUGCUGUUUCGACAUUGGUGGUGUUUAUCAUUGAGAGAUAUGGAACCCAUCUAGUGUAAGCUCUACAAGCAAUUACUAAUGUUUUUCUUGUCCAAAAUUCAGUACAGAAGUUUAUUGCUUUUAUUUAGCAUAUGUUUGGUUUGAUGUUGAAAUUAUCAUUCUCGCUGAGGAUCAAUAGUGAAACUUUAUUGGAUCUGCAUUGGGGGCACUCCCAACCCAGCUUAAUUGAUUUGCUAGCCUUGACUGAUCUUUAAGCCAAACUAGAAAUUAAAAUUAAUUCUCAAAAGGGAGGAUAAACAUGCGAUUAUGUCAAAAAUUUGGUAAGUUAGUUGAGACUUGGAAUAGAGAAAAAAAUGCAUGUACAGAACUGAAAUUAAGUUAAGUGAUGAAUUAUGUGAUUUUGUCAAUAUAUUUAAGUGAUUACUAUUGAUUUUGAUCUAUAGUAAGAAUUAAGAAACAUACAAUAUCUUUGGUGUACGAUCUAUAAUGUUCUUUGAGCCUGCUCUAACUCUUGUGAGUCUCAGUGUCCAACUUCUUUAAAACUUUUUAUUAUAAAAAUAAAAAACAUGACGGGUCAAUUUGAAGCCAAAUUAAUUCUUGUCACAAAGUUUCUAGUUUUGAUCUGUCUUCAACAUAACACAAUCUAGAGGUGGAAAAUUGUCAAUAUGGAUGAGAAAUUUGUAGAUAUAUAUGCUAUGUAUUCUUGCACGGAUAUAUAAAGAAAGAUAAUACUCUUAAUCGUGCACUUCAAAACCAUGACUGAAUUCGUAUUAGAUUUUGCUUCCUUAAUUAAAACCUGCAAGAAUUUGAUUAAGUCCAUAUGCAAUCUUUUUAUUCUUGGAGGAAAAACAAGAAUGCCAACAUGCAAUGCAAAUCGACAUCAUAUAAAAUUGCUAUUUGAAUUUUGACGUGUGGAAAUGUAUCAUACUGUUAAAUAUGACUUUUUGGUAAGCAAAAUUCAAUUGAUUUCUGUCUCAUAAAUUAAAUUAAAUUAAGCUGAUGUAAUGCUAGGUGGUAACCUAAAACCUAACCUAUAUAACGUUAGACUAAUGAAACCUGUCUCAAAAACGACAGAAAGAUAACAACAAAAUAUGAAAAAAAAUAUUUGUCCAACAUUUCAUACAAUUUUUUUUUUUGAAAAAGGCUAAAAUGGAAUUUAUUAAGAUAGCAAUGAAUCUUAACCAGUACAAGGAGUGUUAGGCUAUGAGAGUCUUACCGUAGCAACAAACAAAUGAUGAUGGGAAGCCCCCAAUGGAAAACCCAUACACCCGUGAAAAUAAAGAAAAAUCCAAAAACCUAUAGGAAACGUCUCCUAACAAAGGACUAUAUCUGGAAUCAAUAAAUAGAAACACCAAAACAAAGCUAACAUCACGAACAACGAAACAACAUAAACAAAAUCCUCAAACAUCGUCACAACUGCCACAAAAACAACUUCUACCACCCACAUUCCGCUGCUCGCACACAACCCUGAACACCAACAUGUCGUACAUGAUCAAUGCUCAUUGAUAAUAAAGAACUGAAUAUAUAAAGUGCAAAUUAGCUGUUAAUUUGGAUUGGAUUUGGUGACUGGCCUUCAAAUAAAUAAAUUAUUAAUUAGUUAAAUUGUACAUGUUGGUCACACAACUUUUAAUCACUUUUUUUUUUUCUCUAGCUAUACCUCUGUAUUUCUAUGUGUGUGUGGACAAUGUUACUUUUAGUUUAAGAACACUCACCAACUUAGGCAAUAUUAGUUGCAUCUUCUCUUGACUCUAAAGAACAUCUUUAAGAAACAUUGAAUUCGCAAAUGCAUGGAAAAGGUCAAGGUGCAACACUACACUUCACAUCACUUAUUAUAUAUUCACUUAUUCCUAUCUAUUUCCCCAACUCAACAUUCUUCUCAAGCUAACCUCUAAUAAUACACUAACAAUGGAUACUCCAUUUCUGUUCAAAUUUGUUUUUUUACAUAUUUUUCUUUUGUUUGGCUUUCUUGGUGACAAUAGAUUGUAUGCAAGUGAGCCUCAACUAACACUUGAUUACUAUGCAUCAACUUGUCCUACUGUGUUUGAUAUUGUCAGGAAGCAAAUGGAAUGUUCGGUGCUUUCUGAACCUCGUAACGCAGCCUCGGUUGUUCGGCUUCACUUCCAUGACUGCUUUAUUCAGGUCUCAAAAACUUGCCUUUUUUCCUUGUAAUUAUUGCUUCUGUUUUCAUGUUGGAAAGAAAAAAGAGUAAAUCCUCGACAUAUUUCCAUUUACCACACCGAUUCUACUAAAAUGUUAGUCAUCUUAAACAUCAUCUUCGGGUUUUACAAAAUGAAUAUCUAAGAACCAAUGUGGUGAUAAAAAUACCUUUAAUUGAGAGAUAAAUUUGGAGAUAAAAUAAAAAUUUCAAAAUACUAAUAUGGCUGUGAUUUUGAUUUUUGAAGGACUAAUUUAGUAAUCAAAAUGUUGAAUGAAACAAGUUAUGUCUGUGUAUACUUUGCAAUAUCAACUUAAGUUUUACUCCAAAAAUAGUAAAGCUACAUUACAUGUUCCAUUCAAAGUAUUAGAUGAACCUAUUGAGGAGAUAAAGAAAAUUCGUACUAAAGAAACUUGAUUUUAUGUGUUCAGGGUUGCGAUGGAUCGAUCUUGCUCGAUGAUACAUACACACUUAAAGGUGAAAAGAAAGCAGCUACCAACAUCCACUCUUUAAAAGGCUUUGAAAUUAUCGAUCAAAUCAAGAACUUUGUUGAAUCAGAGUGCCCUGGAGUUGUUUCUUGUGCCGAUAUUCUCACAAUUGCGGCUAGAGAUGCUGUGAUUCUGGUAAAACAAACAAUACAAUAUGUACAACAAAAUUCAAUCUUUAUCUUAUAUAAGUUAUUGGAUUUAUGAUAUCUCUUUGUCCUUUGAUUUCUUGUAGGUUGGUGGACCAUACUGGGAUGUUCCUGUGGGAAGGAAAGAUUCCGUGACUGCAAGUUUUGAACUUGCUAACACCAAUCUUCCAACACCUGAUGAAAGCCUUGUUUCUAUCAUUCCCAAAUUUCUUUAUCAAGGCCUAUCAGUCACGGAUAUGGUUUCCCUUGUCGGUAUGUUCUUAUGACUGAUUUACAACUUAGGACUCAGAGUACUUGCCGAAGAAGCUCAUAGUUCUUGUCUUAAUGAGUGAGACAGUGACCUGAUCGCUAUUAGUUCGAGAAAAAAAAAUGGAAAAAUGAAUGAGUCGUCAAAUCUGAACUCAUAUUCAUUUUCCUUUGUUUUUGUUUUUGUAGAACAAACAUCCAUCAGGUCACCGUCUCACAUAUGAAUGAGAACAAGGAUCACUGAGUUUCUAUUUUCAAGGAGCGGCAUUAUUCACCAUUGGUGUGUUUUGUGUAAUUUUAAAGCGUGAUUCAUCGUAAAACCCGCCUUCCUUGAUUUAUGAUCAUUCUAGCUAGCAUAUUAACUAGAGAGAAUAGACCUUACACAGAUUGUUUUGUACAAUUAGUACAACUCUCAGUUUUACCACAAUAAUCCUCAUCUCGGCUCAAAUGAAAUGUACAAAAUAACAAACCAAAUUGCAUUGCAUAAAUAAUAACAAUAUGAAUAUUUUGACCAUUUCUUCACAUUGCCUUGCAAUAAAAGUCAAUAACUGGUUUCCUCGUAAGAUUCCUAGGUAGUUGUAAAAGUAAUUUGUAAUAAACGUUGUUGCGUGCUAUAUAAAUUUCCUGAUCACAACACAUGCAGGAUCCCACACCAUUGGUAUGGCAAGGUGUCAAAAUUUUCGAUCAAGAAUAUAUGGAGACUAUGAAUCAACUUCAGUGAAAAAUCCAAUCUCAGAUAAUCAGUUCAACAACCUGAAAUCUAUUUGUCCACCAAUUGGGGGAGGAGACAAUAACAUAACGGCAAUGGACUAUGUGACGCCUAAUCUCUUCGACAAUUCUUUCUACCAGUUACUAUUAAAAGGCGAGGGAGUUCUUAACUCAGAUCAAGAAAUGUACUCGAGUGUGUUCGGAAUCGAAACAAGAGAGCUUGUCAAGAAGUAUGCAGCAGACUCUCUUGCUUUCUUCCAGCAAUUCUCUGAUUCCAUGGUCAAAAUGGGAAAUAUCACAAAUUCAGAAAGCUUCAUCACGGGAGAAGUUAGGAAGAACUGCAGAUUUGUUAACACAUAAAACUUUCAUUUUUUGGAUUAUGUAUUUUAUGUUUGUUUCGACACAUAUAGAACCAUUAAUUUUAUGUGUUUCAGUCACUUUCAGCCAUAGCUAGUUGAUACAAUGAUAUGUAACAAAUGAAGCAAGCAAUUAUAUAAUGAACAAAUGAAGUAAAAUCGACUGAUUUCCUUUUCAUACAAAGAAAGGUGUUGAGUUUGAGAAUGAAAGUUGAUGUAGCCAAUGUUAGAUUUCCUUGCAGAUCAAACUUUAAAAAUUCAGAUCUAAUACAUAAACUAGCUCAUGAUCUUGAUCUAACCAUAUUAACACUAUGGUAUGGUAUGCUAGAAUAAAAAAGGGUGAGAAAUUAUUAUACUAUAUGGGAGAAUGAUUUUUUAGAGGUGACGCAUAUGCAUAAUCAUAGCUUAAGAAUAAUGAGUCAAAUUUAAUUUAUGGGAAUAUCUUUGAGGUACCAUAUCAUCACAAUGCUAGAUCAGGAGUAACUCAAACUUACUUUACAAUAUAAAUAUAGAAGACAAAUAUAUAAUUGAUAGAAACACUUAUACAUUCAACCUUAACCUCAUACUUUCAAAUAUAUAAAAUCCAUAUAAACUUUAUUAAAUUAAAUCUAAAAAUAUUGCUAAUAAAUUUAUUAAACCUUAAUUAAAAGAAAACAACUAAAUGGCAAUAAUGUCAUUUAAUUAUCCUUAAAAUAAGGUAAUAAUAAAACUUCCCCAAAAGAAUGUGAGUAUAGUUAGACAAUUUCAUAAGAUGCACCCAAAUUUACUCUUAAUUGUAGGAAACUCAGUUGAUGGAAAGCAUGAAGGUCAGCCAAUUCCAUGAUCAAAGGUUAAAUUUUCAUGUAAAUCAUCAAAACAUGAUUUUGACUCUCUAAUUUCACGAAGAUCAUAAGAACAUUUCAUUAGAAUUUUGAAUAGAUGUGUGCUUCUACAAUUAGUUACCUAGACCUUGAAUAGAUGUGUGCUUCUACAAUUAGUUACCUAGGAUACUUGAUCUUAUAAGAACCUAUUCAAUUAAAAAUAUAAUAAGAGUAUUUUCACUUAUUACAAAGACACGAAUACUUGAUCAAAUUAAACCAACACCUAUGGAUAAAGAUUCUUACUUUCUCUUGUUCGACCGUUUAAGAUUUUUGGUGUUGAGAGUUUUGAGUUUUGAGUAAGAUCCUACCAAAUCCUCCUCCAUCUAUGGCAAUUAGUUGAGAAGGAAAAAUCUCUAAUAGUUAUAGCAACAACCACAUGUUGGCUUGGAAUAAAAAUGAAUAAAAAUAUAUUCAUUUUUUAUGCAUUUUUAAUAUGUUUUCUUCCACAUGUUUAGUGAACUCUUGAUCGCAUAACAAUGUUAAAUAUAUGAAGUGUCCUUUCAACAAAACUCUCUCUUUUACCAAAACCUGUGUAUUUGAAAUCAAAGAAAAAAUAUCCAUUAGAGAAUACGAAAAAUUAUAGAAAUAGAAACACACACAAACAAAGCUUAAAAAGAAAAUCAAAACUAUCAAAAAAUGAAAUGGAAGAAGAAAUGAAAAGGAUAACAUAAGCAACAUAUAUAAGCUUAGAAAAAAAUGAGGAGCUUUAUAGUAAUAAACUUGUGUGUGUAAGAGGAUUGAUUAAGAAUAUGAAUAAUUUUAAAAUUUAACCCCUCAAUAUUAAUAAAAUGGAUUAUAAUGCAUUCAUUGUGUAACUUGCAUGAAGUGAAGUAAAUGAAGUGUUUUUGCAGCCAAUGGAAAAUGAAAGAUAGAUAGUAAGGAAUGACUAAUAAAGAAUCAAGAACAAAAGAUAGCCACAUGACAUAAGUAUGAGAGAUUAGUUAGAAAGGGGGUAUUGGUAAGGUGACACAUAGGAAAAAUGUAGCUUAGAAUAUAUAUAUAUAUAUAUAUAAGGACUAAAACCAAAAAAAAAAAAAUUGCAUAGAUCAAACUCAAAAAAUUGUGUAACUGCAAGAACUAAUGACAUGUAUAAACCUAUUCAUUAUUAUUCACAUUUAAAAAUACUUGAAAAAGAUUUUUAAAUUUACGGGUUCCAUGUUGAUUGGAACAUACAUAAUUGAAUGAUAAAUUAUAAUAAUUUAUAAUAAGACAUAAGAAAAGUAAAUAUAAAAACUUCCCUAAAAAAAAAAGUAAAUAUAAAAACUAUGUGUCCUUCAAAAUAUAUAUAUAUAUAUAUAUAUAUAUAUAUAUAUAUAUGACAAAUUCUAUGGUACACCCAACAAUUUGAGUGUAUUGGUACACCAAAUCUUUAAAUUAAUAGUUAAAUGAGUUAUUUUUUAUAGGAAAAAAAUAUUUUCCAUCACCUAUAAUUAUAAUAACUAAAUCUUAUUUACCAAAAACGUCAACACAAUAAAAUUCGAUUUUUCUGAAUUCAUAUUACUCAUAAUAGAGAAUUUUGAUUAUUUUUUUACAAUAAAAUGUAGAAAAAUUUAAUAUGAUUUUUCUAAAAAAUGAAAUGAUGUUCUUUUUUAUAAAAUGAUAUUUUCUAAAAUAUAUAUGUCAACAAACACCAAUUUUCUUUCAUAAAAAAUGAUAGUUAACUUAUAAAAAUUGUAAGCGAGAGUACCGGUACACCUUAAUUUACGGAUACACCGUAGAAAUUCCAUAUAUAUAUAUAUAUAUAUAUAUAUAUAUAUGAUGUUUUAAUGAAACUAGACUUGUUGAAGUGAUUAUCAACGUGUCAUAACCCAUGUGCAAUGUUGCUUUAACUUUAUUAGCUGUGUACUUUGGUAUAUGGUCAUCAACAGUAACAUAACAUUUUAUUUUUGAAUUUGAGACCGUCAAUGAUAUUACUCCGUUUCUUUUUAUCUGUUAUUUUUUUAUAUUUUACACAAACUAAGACACUUAAUAAAUAUUACUUUUUCUUAUACAAUAAUUUAUAUUUUUACUAUAAUAUCCUUAUUCAUUUAAUAUUUUAUUUCAUAUAUUUCUUUCUCCGUAAUAAAUAAUUAAGGGUAAUGUUGGUAAAACAACAUUUAUUGUUGCAUUGAACUUUGAAAGUGACAGUUAAAUAGGAACAAAAAAUUUCUCCAAAAGAGACAUUUAAAAAGGAACGGAGGGAGUAAUAGAUGAGUACGACAUCAGAGAGGUAGAAGUGAACCUACCUAUGAUUUUAUGAUUUUUUUUAGAUAGACAAAAUGACAAAACCAUUAUAAACUCAUACAUAAGGGUGGACAAAAAUUCAAAGUCCAACCCAAACCGGUAUAACCAGCUGUAUAAACGGACGGGGUUUAAACGGGUUGUCGGGUCUACGGAUUGCCAAUUUCGGUUUUCUGUGAGUAUAUAUGGACGGGCUCGGAUGUCCAAAAUGGAACCAAGGGAAACCGAAACCCGCCCGAUUAGCUACCCACCCAUGUCUCACUUUUCAUUCAAUUACUCAGGGAUGGAUGUGACGAAACUCACAAUCUGUCAGAUACCCCAUCUUAUUAAAUAAUGCAAUAAAUUUACUUUUAUUAUUACUAUCACAACAACUUAGUACAAGUUAUUAUUACCAUCACAACCACUCAGUACAACAACAAAUUGUAUUUUAUUUUUCUUUUUGCUGAUAUUGCUGUAUGGAAAAGAGAGAGAACAGGGCUAUACUAAUAUUUAUCAACGCUACUAUCAUCCAUCACCUUGAGAUAUUAACUUUCUUUUUCCUCUCUCAAGACACCUUCCUACGUCCCACCACCUCUCUCUAUUUUCUCUUCACAAUUGUUGUGGUCAAUUUCUUUUGUUAUUGUCAUUAGAUCUACAAGUUUUGAACAAAAUAGUUGUUCACCUAUAUGGAUUUAACAAUCUAUCUUCAUCUUCUGUGUUAUUAUUUCUGUGUAUUUUGCUUUUGAUGUUAUUUUAGUUAUUUGUAGGAGGUCAGUAACUUCUUUUCAUUAUUUAUAAUACAAGUAAAAAUAAUUACUUGUACUGUAAUGAGUAAUAUAAUAAUUUGAUAAAAAUUAAAGAAAAAAAAAUACACAUUUUCUAUUGUAAAGUUCACCAUAAAACAAUACAUUUUCAUCUCAUUCUUCUUUUUUCCUCUAUCUCUAAUUUAAGUCAUGACAAAAGUAGGAGUUAGUGUUGGUCUGAAGUAUGGCCGUGUAAAUGAAACUAAUGAUGUUAAUUACCUUAGAGUGCUUGUAAAUUCAGCCGUUUGAGUCAAGGACUUGUUGAUAAAGUGUUUUGGGUUUAAGUCUGAGGAUAUAAUCCUUCUCAUAGAUGAAUAUCCGUCGAUGGCUUCUCCUUCAAAAAAUUAUUUUGAAAUAAAAUCAAGUGUUGUCACCCACGCAACCCUUUUGACAUUGUUGCUGGAUUUGUUUAAGAACCUUAAAGCGGGUGAUACCUUGUUUUUUUACUUUGCUGGACAUGGAUUUAGGUCAAAGAGUAAGCCAAAAUACGAUAACGACACUAGUUAUGUAGAAGCCAUAUGUUUGAACCUUAACUCUAAUAUUUUUGGUAAUAUGUUUUCUCUUUGAUUGUAUUCGCUCUCUUUCUCCAUAUAAAAUCUCUGAUGUGUUUGGUGGCUAUCUGUUACUUGUGUUAUGCAGAUUAUGACUUUAGAGAACUUGCGAAGCAUGUUCCUGAAGGAUGUUAAUUUGUUAUGAUGGUGGACAACUGCAAUUCUGCUGGGUUACUUGAUGGUUUGACUGAAGUUAUCGACGAUAGUCAUCAGUCUGCAAACGUCGUUAAGAACAAAACUCAACAAUCAAAUUUUUUUAAGGGAGCUAAAAUGGAUAAAGAGCCUUCAGGUGUGUUGGUAAGCUCUUGUCAAUCUUAUGAGAGUUCUGUUGGAGAGCUUAUUAGUAGUAUAUCAAAAUUGAGGAGGUGUAUUUGGAUCUUCCAUACAUACCUCCACUAUUUUAAAAACUUCUUCUUCUUCCAUUUUUUAACGUCACCAGAAUUGAGGAGGUGACGCUAAAAAAUGGAAGAAGAAGUUUUUAAAAUAGUAGAGGUCUGUAUGGAGUAUCCAAAUACAACUUCUCAAUUUCGAUCUACUACUAUAAACCUUCCAACAGAACUCUCAUAAGAUUGACAAGAGCUUACCAACACAUCUGAAGGCUCUUUAUCCAUUUUAAAUCCUUUAAAAAAAUCUGAUUGCUGACGUUUGUUUUUAACGACGUUUGCAGACUGAUGACUAUCGCCGAUAACUUCAGUCGAACCAUCAAGUAACCCAGCAGAAUUGCAGUUGUCCAUCAUCAUAACAAAUUGACAUCCUUCAGGAACAUGCUUCGCAAGUUCUCUAAAGUCAUAAUCUGCAUAACACAAGUAACAGAUAGCCACCAAACACAUCAGAGAUUGUAUAUGGAGAAAGAGAGCGAAAACAAUUAAAGAGAAAACAUAUUACCAAAAAUAUUAGAGUUAAGGUUCAAACAUAUGGCUUCUACGUAACUAGUAUCGUUAUCGUAUUUUGGCUUACUCUUUGACCUAAAUCCAUGUCCAGCAAAGUAAAAAAACAAGGUAUCCCCCGCUUUAAGGUUCUUAAACAAAUCCAGCAACAAUGUCAAAAGGGUUGCGUGGGUGACAACACUUGUUUUAUUUCAAAAUUAUUUUUUGGAGGACAAACCAUCGACGGAUAUUCAUCUAUGAGAAGGGUUAUGUCCUCAGGCUUAAACCAAAAAUGCUUUAUCAACAAGUCCUUGACUAGAAAAGCGGAAUUGAUAGAUCCUCUAAGGUAAUUAAGAUCAUUGGUUUCAUUUACACGGUUAUAUUUUAAACCAACACUAACUCUACUUUUGCUAUGACUUAAAUUGGAGAUAGAGGAAAAAAGAAUGAAGAGAUGAGAGUGUAUUGUUUUAUGGUGAACUUUGCAAUAGAAAAUGUGUGUAUGUUAUAUAGACUAGGGGUGGCGAUGGACAGAAACUCACAAUCCGUUUGAACCGACGGUUGCAAUAUCCAAGCCCACUCCCGUCCGUUCAUGGAAUCGGUUUCCUCGGAUGGCGGUUUAGACGGAUUACGGUUUCUUCGGUUGGUUUAUCUCGGGUCCUUAUUGAUCAUCGUCUCCAUUAUCGACCAAAACUCAUAAAAAAAAAAACAGAAUCAGAUACUAGAAAUAGAGAGGAGCUUCUGGUUAAGAUCAAAGAAUGCGGUCUACGGUCACCGGUGCCACUCAGCAUGUCCCCUACACUCCGGCUGACAGGGUAAAGAAACUCUAAUAAUAAUUAAAGAUGAAGAGAGGGUUUUGAGUCUAGAGAGGUGAGAGUCAAUUAUUAAGUUGUAGAUCUACGUUGUUAACUCAUUAUGGUGUCUCUCAAACCUCCAGCACAAGGCCAACAUAUUGUGAUAUCUAACCUUCGUGAAUCAGUCUGGGUAAAUAACAAAAUAGAGAGUAAAGAGCAUAUGAAAGAUUGAGAGAAGUAUUUGGGAUUUUUGUUCUUGAGAAGAAGAUAUGUGUCGUGAGAGAAAUAUGGGGAGAGCGUAGGUAAGGUUUUGGGAAAGUACUGUCACUACUUUCUACACACAAAAAAUAACAAAUAAAUACAAAAAUAAAAUAUAGGUCACAAAAAUGAGUUUAUUCUUAAUUCAAUUAAAAAAAGUAGACUUAAAAAAACAGUGUAUGUGGCUCUGUACAACAAUAAAGUAAGCUAUCUGCUAUGAAUAUAGUAAAAUAUAGGUGAAAAACUAAAAAGUAGUCUGAUACUCGAAAAAGUCUUAGUUGAUCACAAACACAGAUAAAUAGUACUUAGGCGCACACACAUGGAAGAGAAAAAUUAAAAGAUAAAAGUAAAAAAUGAUGUGAUUAAUUUAUUUCUCUAUUAAAUUUUUUUAAUUAUGAGUGUGUGCCCAAAUGUUUUUCAUUUGGGUUUGUGUGUAUAGAAGAGUUGCUCCUGAUACUCUUUGUGAUUGAUAUAUAGGAUUGGAAGCUGCUACUAGUAUAAUACUCCUUCCGAUCCUAUUUACAAGAUAAAGUUAACUUUUUAGAUACAUUGAAUAAUGUAUAUAUUUAGUCAAGAACCUAAACCAAAUACAUAAAUUAUUUAAUGUAUAUAAAAAGUUAAUUGUUUCUUGUAAAUAGGACCGGAGGGAGUAUAACUCUCGAUCGGUUAACGGAUUUCGAUGAGUUAAAUUUCGUCCAAUUCUAUCUGCAGUAGACCAAAAACAUAAACCUGUAGGCCCGAAAACCCGAAAUGGGCCGCCCGCAGCAUUUAUUUAUUUAUCGGGUACAUCGAUUUCGGGCGGUUGUCGGAUUUUUGUCCAGCCCUAAUAUAGACGUGUUUAGAAAAUGUGUAUUUUUUUUCUUUAGUUUUUAUCAAAUUAUUAUAUUACUACAAGUAAUUAUUUUUACUUGUAUUAUAAAUAAUGAAAAGAAGUUGCUGACCUCCCACAAAUAUAACCAAUUUCUGAUACAAUUAAAAUUCAUAGGUAGGUUUAUAAUGAUUGUUAGAUCGGACGCCCAUGACUGAGGUUCGAAUCCUAAUACUUCCAUUUAUAUGUGUAAGUUUAUAAUGAUUUUACCGUUUCAACUAUCUAUAAAAAAAAAAAAAAUCAUAGGUAGGUUCACUGCUACGUACCUCUGUGAUGCCGUACUCAUCUAUUAUCAUUGACGGUCUCAAAUUCAACAAGUAAAAUGUUCUGUUACUAUUGAUGACCGGUGGCAUUUUACAUUAAAUUUCAAUAUAAACAUAUAUGUAUAAGAUGAUGCUCCGUUGCAAAAUACAAUGGAAUCCUUUCCCAUCAUAGGAAAAGUGACUUUUGUACCAUUGAUUUAAUAAUAAAAUAAUUGAAUGGUUGAGAUGUAUUACUUGCUACCCUUUGAAAACUUUUUGUUUUUACAAAAUCACAAAAAUGCGGACCCCACACGUAAAUAGAAUGUUGUCUAUUUGUUUGGGCUGAUUUUUUUUAUUGAAUGGGCAUGUUGUUUAUAGGUUUACGUCAACCCGAAAAUAAGCCGCAUUUAGCGAAUAACUUACAAGCUCGUAUGUUUAAAAAGGCUCCGUUUGAUAAACGUUAUUUCAUCACGAAUUUUUAAUAUUGAUAAAAAAUAAAAUUAAAACUCUUGUUUUAGAAAACAACAUUCAGUUUUUUUUUUGCUCAAAAAAAGAAAAAGAAAACAACAUUCAGUGGAUAAUAUUGUUGUACAAUUUAUACACAGAACAACAGUCAAUCGCUAAUUAGUUAAUUAAAUUUAUUUUCUUACACAUCUUCAAAAUAAUAAUAAGAUAAUUUAUGACACAAUAAUUUGACGCAUAAGUCGCGCUUUAACGUAUAAUUCGUAUGGACCACGGUCUGUUGUUAAUUUUUUUAUUAAACACUUAAUCCUAAAACUAAACGGAAAAAAAAGCAAAAAGAAAAACCAAAAAAAAAUAUUAAAAAUGGUUGUUCCCUAAAGCCUAUGUAAAACACUAAAAAAAUGGCUUGUUCGCCAAAACGAAAAUAAAACAACAAAAAAAAAAUUGAAAACAAAUGCCUGUUCUCCAAAGCAUGCAUAGAACAAGGCAUUUGCAAUUUUUCCAAAAAAAAAAAAAAAAAAAGACAUUUGCAUUAUUAAAUAUCAACAAGGGUAUAGUUAUCAAUAAUUUUAGUCUGUGAUGCAGAAAAGAAAAAAUUUCGUCAAGAACUGAGAUACAUAAGGUGGUGGUGUACAAAGUAAUGUUUUCUAAAAGAGGAGGUGCAAAUCAAAUUUAAAUAUAAUAUAGCAUUCAAUUAUGUUUGUUCAAACCAAAAAAUCAAAUAAAAUAUGUAGCAACUUGUUGCAUUGUCAUAUGUAGGUAAAAAGUGACCUUUCCUAUGGUGGGAAAAGAUUCACCUUUCCCAUGGUAACCUUCACCUGGUAGUUAAGUUAAAAACUUAGAAGAGUUAAAAAGUAUGCCGGUAGAAAAUCUGAUACUCUCCUCUAAUAUAUAGAUCCACACCUAUAUAUAUGAAUUGUGAUGACUCGGCAUAUUUAGUUAAGAUUCAUCACCUCAUUCUCAUUUGAAACCUCCCUCUUCUUCAUCUCUCAAAAAUAUCUCCAAUUUACAUUCAGGAUUGAAAGAAAAUCAACCAGUGGAAACUGCCAGUUCCUGGGAGAGAAUCAAAUAUCCUGGGCCAGCAAAAGACAAGCAACUAUUGCUAUGUCUAAAGCAGAAGCAGAAUACAUAUCAGCUGCAAGUUGUUGAACACAACUACUUUGGAUGAAACAUCAGUUGGAAGACUAUCAGAUAAAUGCUAACAGUAUUCCCAUUUAUUGUGAUAAUAUUGCUGCUAUUUGUUUGUCAAAGAAUCCAAUUCUGCAUUCAAAAGCCAAACAUAUUGAAAUCAAACACCACUUUAUUAGAGACUAUGUUCAAAAAGGAAUUUUAGAUAUACAAUUCAUUGAUAUCGAACAUCAAUGGGCUGAUAUAUUUACUAAGCCUUUAACUCUGGAAAGAUUUGAAUUUAUAAAGAAAAAUUUGAACAUGCACCUUGUGUCUGAUUGAAUUUGCUUGCUCCUGAACUAGAAGUUUGGUUCUGAAGUCUUCUCAGAAGCUAUGGUCCAUCAGAAGCUUUUAACUGAGAUUCUGAGGAAAAUGGGCUUCUGAAGAUGAUGUCAGCACUUUAACUUCAGAAGCUGAAUUCUUUGCUCCUGAAUAGCAGGAUUAGUGGAAACGUUGGAAGUUACCCUUCAAGUAACACCUGUCCCACUAACUUAGCAGUUACUCUGAAACGCUUCUGACGUGGUUUAUUUGUAUUGGUGUAUGACUUAAGAGGGCAAUGAUGAUUUUUUAGCUUUGAAAGUACUAUCUCGCGCCCCCAAUUGUCAUUAAUGUUGUGUUUGUUUGUCCCCUUCUGAAUUGCAAUCGUUUUUACUCAAAACACUUAGACAAAACACACACUACUCACUUUAAAACCUACACUUUCAUCGUUUCAAACUAUUCUCUGCGAAGUAAGCGCAUUCCUCUUCACUCAAAUCCUUAGAACCUUAAAAAUUCAUCUUCAUCAUGGAAACUUCAAGCUCUGUUUCCAGAAUCAUCCAACAUGCAAGAAGCUGUUCCUGCUUACGAAAUCAAAGGAAGAACAAUGUCUUUGGAGGAAUGGGAUUUGAAGAUUCAAACGGAAAAUCCGGUUGAUUUGACAUCUCUUGCAUUUCAUGGCUGUGACAUAAGAAGAUUCUAUGAAGCACAAGGCCUAAUGGAUUACUUCAAUAUGUUGAAUGGACCAACAUAUCAAACACUGGUAAGGCACUUCUUGGUUAGAGCAAGUGUCUACAACAAAGAAACUGCUAAGCUUGAAGAAACAGAAAAGAUACUCAUUAACCCUACGCUGGAGGGAAAAUCUCGUGAAGAAAUGGGUCUAGAACCAUUUGUCUGCACUGAGAUAAGAUCAAGCAUCAUGGGAAUUCCAGUGCAUAUCUCAGAAGACAUAAUAGCCUUUGUCAUCAGAAGGGCUGCUGAAGGUAUAGGCAAUAGUAAGACCAGUCAAUGGAAUGAGGUGGUCAAUCAAUCCAUGUUCAACAGCUAAGACAAGGGUAUGUAUGCUGACUUGAGCAUGGAGAAGAAGAUGCUCCUGAAAAUCCAAAAUGAAAACCUGCUACCAAAAGGUGGUGGCAGUGAUCAACCUUCAUAGGAGCAUAUGAUCCUUCUACACUUCUUCAUAACUGGAGAAAAAGCUAAUGUGCCCAGAUACAUCUUCAGGCACAUGAUCCAGCAACUCAAGGAAAGUCAAGAUAAGAAGAGAUGUUGGGUUCCUUAUGGAAGGCUAAUCUCAUAAAUUUUUCAUCAAGGAUGGAUUCUGAGAUCUCUCAGCAAAGUAAACUUCUUUACUGAUGAGCAGCUAGGCACAGAGACUGGGAAGAUCAUUAAUUGAAGUACUCUAAAGCACAUAAAGCUGAUUAAUUGAAGGAAUCUUUUGCCAUAUCAAAUCUGAUGGAAGACUUUCCCCCCAUCUGCAAACAAGAUCCACUUGAUGUCCAGAUGAACUGGAUCAAGGAUCAUUUUGCAUCAACAGGCACAAAGAUUAAUUUGGAAGAUGUGCAUGAAACAAUGUAUGGUGGAGCUCUUCCAGUUGCUAAGAGCAGGAAAACUAAGAGAAAAUCUAUCAACAAGGAUGAUUACUUAGAAGAUGCUUCUAAAAAAUCUUCCAAGAAGGCAAAGAAAGAAAAGUCCUCUUCUGGUGUACCAACGAUUCAGGAAGAAGCUAAGGAGCUGAAUGUUGAUGCAAUUCUGAAAAAGAAAACCAGAAGUGACAAAGCUUCUAUUUCUUCUCAAACUGUUUCUGAUCAACCUUCUAUUCCUAAGAAGAAGAGAAAGCAGGCUAUCAUGAAGUUAAAGAUGGCAGCGGAUGUUGCUGAAGAAGAAGAAAUUGAAGUUGCUACUAAUCUUGUCACCAGAGAGGUAAGGCAGAAGAAAGCUGAAGAUGCUACUACACUUCAGAAAGCCUUGGAGUUAGCAAAGAAGAUUGAAAUCACUGCAUCCAACAUAGUAAGGGAAGAUGCUGGUGCAGAUGCUCAAGAGGUGAUUAAGGCUGCUGGAGAGGUGCAAUAGCUUGUGGUAACUGAAGCUGGAAGCUUGUUGGAGCUUGCUGAAGCAGUUCAGAAGGAACAUGUUGAUGUGUAACGCAAAUAAGGCAUAUAUUCAAGAAAUAGACGCUACGUCAUCAUACAAAAUCCAAAACAACAUGCAUGUAUAAAAAUCUCAACAGCCGCAGCGGAUAUAUAAACCAUAUACUUCAAACAUACAUGCCAUGAUAUCAAAAAUACAUUAACAUAAAUGUUCUCCAAGUCCCGACAAAUGGGUAAACCUUCAACAUGAAUAAAUCCAAACAGAUAAUCUAGACCAACAUAGACAGACGCCUGGAUUAGAGCCUAUCCUAGACCCGACUAAACCGAUACCGGAGAUAGCUCCCGAUAUCCGACCAAGCAUCAAUCAACUCACCGGAGUAACUAAUCCUGCACAGCGUCUACCCAUCCAUACAGACAUGUAGGCGGUCAAAACCACUGGGGUAAGUAUUACAUCAAUCAUAAUCAACAUAAACAGUUAGACAUGAACAAAUCAAUUCAUGUAACAUUUCAUUAAUCAAGAAUAAUUAAUUUCCAUAUACACAUUCAUUCAAAAAUUCCAAAUCUUACAACAUGUAUUUAUCAAACACACUUAUCAUCAACAAUCAUCAUUAAUAUGCCACAAAUAAGACUCAUGUCAACAUGAAAUGCGCCUAGUUCGACACAUAUAUGCAUGUGGUACCAAAUCACCUCAAGGUCGUCACCUUCGAUGCAACAAAAACAUCGUAUGUAAAAUUUCACACCCGUCUUACAUAAUCACCGAAGUAAAAGAGUUCAACUCUUUUACAGCUACAAGACUCAACAUGAUUAUGAUGCAUGGACAUACAAGUAAGGACUCAACAAUGCAGAUCACCUCAAAAUUUUCACAACAAUAUAAAGGACAACUUCCAAAUAUAUUGAUCAUCUCCUCAACAAUUGCAUUAUCAAGUAAUUACGUCCACACAACAUUCGAGUCAUAUUUCAAAUAAGAGUCAUCAUCACAUUAUCACAUAAUCAUCAAUAAUCAUCAACAUCAACUAUUUCAUAUAGUCUCACCAUUCCAUUUAUUUCUCAUAUUCCAAGUAAGAGAACAUACAACAUCUUAUGAUAAAUAUCAUAUCAACAUACAACAAGUCAUUCACACAUCUUCAUUUAUUCAUAUAAGGCUAGUCACGAAAGAUCAUAAGAUUAAUUAGUUGACUUAAAUGAACCAAUUCCGGUAAAGUCCGUGUCAAGUUGCAAACGGCCCUCAUUGACAAUUUCCAAAACAAGGUAACAAUAUAAAGUUUGAAAAUCCUCAAGAGAGUCUUAAUCAAUCAUGUGAUCAUGAACGUAAGCCACUUACAAACUAUUAGACAUUAGUUCAAAGAAUAACUUAAGUUCACAUAAGAAAACCCAAGUUCACAUUUCCCAUAUUCCCACCCGAAAUAUCAAGUUUACCAUGAUUAAGAUGCUUGACCAACUCUACAAUUUCCACCUAAGUAUAUAUAAGCUGUAGGCUUAACUUGUAAUCUCAUUCAACUCAUAAAGGUUCAAUUCGACAAAAUUCGAAAUUCCCAAAAAUAUCCAAGUUUCAACCCAAAAUGGAAAAUCCCAAAUUUGAAUGAGCUAAACAUGUUCCAGUAUGUUUAGGGGUUCAAACAGUAGUUAAACAAGUUGAAAGAAUCAUUUUACAAAGCUCGGAUUGGCCCCCUAAAGCCCGGAACAAAAAUCAAAAGUGGCUGAAUCUGGGCAGGUUCGCUUAAGCGACCAUCUGGUUCGCUUAAGCGAACAAGUUUCAGUAGCUACUUGUAAUGUACGCUUACUGAUCGCUUACUAUUCGCUUACCUGUUCGCUAAAGCGAACAAGUUCCAGUAGCUAUCAGUAGUGUACGCUUAUAGGUUCGCUUAAGCAACCUAUUUCCAGAACUUGCUAUGAUGGUUUGCUUAAGCGUUCGCUUAAGCGAACAGUCAUAGUUCUGCAGAAAAAUAUUACGGGUUUCAACUCCUUUUCACCCAAAACCCCCAAUUUUGAUCUCCCAAUGCCCAAAUGUGUUUUCAGAGUUUGUUUGCAGGUCAAUAUAACUAACAAGGCUCAACAAACAUGAAAACAAAUAACAUUUGAACAUAAUUCACCAAUUCAACCCAUUUUACAAAACCAACCACAACAGCUCACUUCUCAUCAUCAAAUCAUGAAUUAUGAACACCCAAGCCAUGAAUCAACAACAACAAUAUCACUUAGCAACAACAACAUCAAUUGAACAUGAAUCUCAUCACAAUUCAACAACAACAUAGAACAAUUCAACAUUUAGAGCAUAGUUCAACAUAUAACACUUUCAUAUACUUGGAACAUGCAAUUUCACUAACAACAAUCCAAUUAUCACCAAUUUCAUGCAUUCAAACAUAUCAUCAUAAUUAGAGCACGAAUUCUAACAACUAAUGAACAAUUAAUCCCUUACUCAAUUAAGCACUUAAUCAUACAAUAAUUGAAAAAUUACACUAAAUGAUUAUGAUUGAAUUCUAACCCCCUUACCUUAAUUAGCACAAUUCCUAGCCCAACCUUCACUUUAGCUCCUAGGAUCUCUACCACUUCUUGAAUCUUCAAGCUUCUUCUUCUCUAACCCUUUUUCCUC
rnacentral:lncRNA from 1 species